CCCAGCGCCAUUGACUAGGCUGAUUUGGUCUGAUUACUGGAGCCCUGCUGUGAACUGGGAUGAGGAGAGCACAUUAUUACCCUGUGCAAGUAAAAUACUACGGUUUCAGCCAGUUUGUUGCCUCAUGCCCGCCUGUGUUUCUACGUGAGUUUGCCAUCCCUGUGUCUGUUCUGGAAGAAUGGCUUGAAUAAGCAGUGUCUAGGUCCACGCCCAGGAUCCGAACCGGUGAACCCUGGGCUGCCAAAGCAGAGCACCUGAACUUAACCACUGCGCCACAGGGCUGGCCCCAGCUAUGAGCUUCUGGUAUGGAAACUUAUACUUUUGAUUCCUU
rnacentral:lncRNA from 1 species